rnacentral:rRNA from 1 species
GAUGAGCCCGCGUUGGAUUAGCUAGUUGGUGGGGUAAAGGCCUACCAAGGCGACGAUCCAUAGCUGGUCUGAGAGGAUGAUCAGCCACAUUGGGACUGAGACACGGCCCAAACUCCUACGGGAGGCAGCAGUGGGGAAUAUUGGACAAUGGGCGCAAGCCUGAUCCAGCCAUGCCGCGUGAGUGAUGAAGGUCUUAGGAUUGUAAAGCUCUUUCACCGGGGACGAUAAUGACGGUACCCGGAGAAGAAGCCCCGGCUAACUUCGUGCCAGCAGCCGCGGUAAUACGAAGGGGGCUAGCGUUGUUCGGAAUUACUGGGCGUAAAGCGCACGUAGGCGGAUAUUUAAGUCAGGGGUGAAAUCCCGGGGCUCAACCCCGGAACUGCCUUUGAUACUGGGUAUCUUGAGUGUGGUAGAGGUGAGUGGAAUUGCGAGUGUAGAGGUGAAAUUCGUAGAUAUUCGCAGGAACACCAGUGGCGAAGGCGGCUCACUGGACCACAACUGACGCUGAGGUGCGAAGGCGUGGGGAGCAAACAGGAUUAGAUACCCUGGUAGUCCACGCC